rnacentral:lncRNA from 1 species
CACAAGAGAAAAAGAUCUUUAAAAAGAGGACCAAAAGGCAGAAGGAGAUCAUUCAUUUGGAUCAUUCGGAUUCAUAUCAUUCGUAUCAUUCAGAUUCAGACAUUCGGACAGUUCUUUGGAGAUUUGGGCACUGACUCAGAGGAGUGGCUGGAAGACAGACCCUUGAGCGACCAGAAGGCAGACACCCAGACUUCUUUUAGACUGUCACCAUUGGUGAGUGAAAAGCUGAGUCAGAGACCCCACCUUUCUGGAGACAUGAAGCCUCUAGAGGGAGUUUCCUCACUUGGAAGGCAGAGAGGUGGUGCAGCUGGAGAUAAUGAAGUCAUGAACUAUUAAGAGUGAAAAUUGUGAUCUACCUGUGGUAGGAGACACCAGAGCAUAAUCUCAAACUGAUUAUAGACUUGGAGAAUUGUAUCAGCAUCGAUUCAGAAGGCCAAGCCCUGAAGCACAUCAAGGUAGGUCCACUUUUUAAAUACAGCACUAAGGCUCUUCCUUUUGAACCCAAUGCAAUUACUCUUAGAUUUCAUUAUUGUCAGGGAGUGUAAAGGGAUGACAGAAGUCUUAUUAAAAUCAGUUUACCGUUUGAUCCUUCAGAGACUUCUGAGGAAAUAUGGAUUAGAAAGAAUUUGAUUCUUAAUGAGUCUAACUACUGGCAGCAAUGAUGAUAUUUUUUAAAAACACCAAGUUGUUUAUUGCAUACACUGAAUAUAUUGGAAAACUCUAUUUAUAGCAUUACACCCACAAAAGAAGAGCCAUUUUUAAAUGACACUCUAAAGAUGUACCAUCUUACUGGAGGCUUUCCUCUAUGAAAUGAAAUUUUCUUAUUUUCCCAGCAGUACCUCUAUGCCACACCUUGGACUGCCCAUCUGUGUUCUUUUGUUCUUAUCUUGAAACAAGAUUAUGGAUUAACUUUGCAUUAGUGAAAAAGAAGGAAUAUUCAACCAAACUGAAACCUUUCCCGCAAGAGGCUACUCUGCAAAUUUGGCUAAAGUAAUGCAAUUUUCUAUCUCUGCCUUUAGAAAAGAAACUUUGAAUUACCUGAAUAAAGUCACAUGUGAACCAUCUGGUAAGUUUCUU